ensembl:lncRNA
CAGCGAAUUACAGGAAAGGUAGAAAAAUGAGACUGAGAAGAAGCUGAGCUCUGGGUCUGAUCCGUGCUGCUCUGGGCAGCAAAGACAAUAGCCCCCAGCUUACCGCACCUUUUAUUCAGUACCUCGUAACAAAUGACUUGCAGAGAAUUCAGUACAUCGGGAGAAACAAAUGUAACAAAUGACUUGCAGAGAGUUCAGUAGUUCACAUUGGGACGAACAAGGUGUAACAAAAGGCUUGCAGAGAGUUCAGUACAUCUCGGGUAAACAAGAUGUUAACAGUUCAAGAACAAUGAGGAACUGAGCAGAUGUUUGUUCUCCUAGGAUGUUUCUUGUCCUGGAGAAUCACAGCAUCACUGGAUCACUGAAGUCUCAGUUGUGACCGGAGGCCAAACUGGAGUUAUUCUGUAGCUGGGCUGUAGGCAAGAGAACUAGGCUAACCAAAUGAUUUCUCCCUAGAAUUAUGUAGCAUUGCUCCCAACAUCCCAACACAUCAAUAAGUAAACAGGAAUUUUAAAAAGGACUGCUUUUAAAUAUGGCUGAUUUGUGUUUUGUUUUGUUUUCUGAGACAGGGUCUCGCUAUGUAGUUCAGGUGGCCUGGAACUCAUGGGGAUCCUCCUGCCUCUCCCAAGUGCUGGGAUUAUAGACCGAUGAGUCAGGCAGGGAUAUUAGAGGUGGUCAGAUAGGCCAGGCCCUAUCUGAAACACCACAGCUGCACCAGAGGGAGACACAUCGGUUGGAACGUGGGCCUCAGGAUAAAGACAAGCUGACCCAACCUGCAUACUUGGUCAAAGAGCAAGCACUGGGCCUAGUGAAGCUGAGACAGACAUCGGCCACCCUGGUGGGUGACCAGAGACCUCUGGACCCAGCACUUCCUAGGAGAAUCUUUGUCUUUCCAUCCACGCUUGUUACGUGACUUAUCUCCCUAUUGGACACCAUUGGCUAAGCGACUGCACUUGUAACCUUAUUGGAUGGUCAGGGCUGUGGCCCACAUUGUACCCUCUGUAAAGUUUAAAGAUCCCUAUCAGUCCUAGUUAUCCCACCCUUUGUUCCGGACACCACUAUCUAUAGAACAAUCUACAAAGCAUCUGCUGACUAACAGUACAUGUCUUGCUAAUUAACAUACAAAUGUAAGACCACUGAACUUUUGUUCCUUCUUCUGUAAACUUCACCUGUUAACUCUCCUGCAAGCCCCUAUAAAAAGAGCCUCGGACUCUGGACUAGGCCUCUCUAAGCUACUUUGCUUUGGGAGUGCCCUCUGGCCAGACUAAGGUCUGUUUCACUUUCCAAUUUGUCCGGUGUGUUCCUUCCUGGGUGUUCUCCACUGCAGUCAGCUCCUUGGAUCAUUUGGUAAGGCCUUUGGUCUUACAUUCUGGAGGCACCGCUGGGAACCCCGGGUGUGCUCCACUUCAGCUCCUUGGAGCAUUUGGUAAGGCCCUUGGUCUUACAUUCUGGAGGCACCGCUGGGAUCCCUGGGUGUGCUUCACUAUAGUCAGCUCCUCAGAGCUUUUGGUAAGGACAGAGGUCUUACAUUUUGGAGGCCCCAGCGAGAUCCCUGGGUAAGGAACCCCGGUUCAGCCGAGACUCUGGCAGGAUCCAGCAGGAGACUCUCAGGCACAGACCUCAGAAAACCUCUGGAGGUAAAUUUUUGGCCGGUUGCAACCGUUUGUUGUCAGGAGUGAGGUGGCUGAUGGGCCGGUAAGCCUCCCGACUCCAGGUUCCUGA